rnacentral:lncRNA from 1 species
UAAAUAGAGGUGAGUUCUUUGUUUUUCCAUAGUUCUUCUGAGUUUGUUAAGUACCUGAAAGUGAGAGAGGGUGAGGAAUUGGUAGUUUAGAAGUGGAGAAAGAGAAAGAGUUCAGGUGUGUUUAUUUUCAAUUUGAUUCUUUUGUUCUUAGUUUGUAAAAUCAGAAGUUGUUAGCACUUUAGAAUUUUAGUUUUAUUGUUUGCUUGUUUUGAUUAGUUGCUAUUAAGAAUUGGUUUUGGAUUUGUUAUUGUUGAAUUUGAUGGUAAGUAGAAUUGCUGAAUUCUUUGGUUUUGGUUAUAUUUGAAAAGAAAUAUUGUUAAUUUGAGUUCUAAAUGAAAUAUUGUUGGUAUAUAAUUGUUUAACUAAUGCUUAUAUCCUUUUAUUAGGAGCUUGAUACUUGACUGGAAAGUUGACAAAAGUAGGGGGAAAAUUGGGGAGCCUCUAUGCUUGCUUUAUAUGUUGUUUCAUUGGAGUUAUUUUCUUAUUU